rnacentral:rRNA from 1 species
CGGGUGAGUAAUACAUAAGUAACCUGCCCUAGACAGGGGGAUAACUAUUGGAAACGAUAGCUAAGACCGCAUAGGUACGGACACUGCAUGGUGACCGUAUUAAAAGUGCCUCAAAGCACUGGUAGAGGAUGGACUUAUAGCGCAUUAGCUGGUUGGCGGGGUAACGGCCCACCAAGGCGACGAUGCGUAACCGACCUGAGAGGGUGACCGGCCACACUGGGACUGAGACACGGCCCAG